AUUGAACGCUGGCGGCAUGCUUUACACAUGCAAGUCGAACGGCAGCACAGGGAGCUUGCUCCUGGGUGGCGAGUGGCGAACGGGUGAGUAAUGUAUCGGAACGUGCCUGGUAGUGGGGGAUAACUACUCGAAAGAGUGGCUAAUACCGCAUGAGAUCUUUGGAUGAAAGCGGGGGACCUUCGGGCCUCGUGCUACUGGAGCGGCCGAUAUCAGAUUAGGUUGUUGGUGGGGUAAAGGCCUUCCAAGCCUGCGAUCUGUAGCUGGUCUGAGAGGACGACCAGCCACACUGGGACUGAGACACGGCCCAGACUCCUACGGGAGGCAGCAGUGGGGAAUUUUGGACAAUGGGCGCAAGCCUGAUCCAGCAAUGCCGCGUGCAGGACGAAGGCCUUCGGGUUGUAAACUGCUUUUGUACAGAACGAAAAGUCUCUGGCUAAUAUCUAGAGAUCAUGACGGUACUGGAAGAAUAAGCACCGGCUAACUACGUG
rnacentral:rRNA from 1 species